rnacentral:rRNA from 1 species
GACGAACGCUGGCGGCGUGCCUAAUACAUGCAAGUCGAACGCAGUGGGGCCGGGUUAGUAACACGUGGGUAAUGUCUCAUCUGAGGGGAUAACACUUGGAAACAGGUGCUUAAGCGAUACCGAUGGAUGGACUCGUGGUUCAUUAGCCAGUUGGUAAGGUAAAGGCUCACCAAGGCAACGAUGCAUAGCCGACCUGAGAGGGUGAUCGGCCACACUGGAACGGAGACACGGCCCAGACUCCUACGGGAGGCAGAAGUAGGGAAUCUUCGGCAAUGGGCGAAAGUCUGACCGAGCAACGCCGCGUGAGUGAAGAAGGUUUUCGGAUCGUAAAACUCUGUUAUUAGGGAAGCGGUAUCUAACCAGAAAGCCACGGCUAACUACGUGCCAGCAGCCGCGGUAAUAC